GCUAGAUGGUGGGGUAACGGCUCACCAUGGCUAUGAUGUCUAGGGGUUCUGAGAGGAAGACCCCCCACACUGGGACUGAGACACGGCCCAGACUCCUACGGGAGGCAGCAGUGAGGAAUAUUGGACAAUGGAUGGAAAUCUGAUCCAGCCAUGCCGCGUGCAGGAAGACGGCCCUAUGGGUUGUAAACUGCUUUUAUAUGGGAGCAAUAAGGUUUACGAGUAGACCGAUGAGAGUACCAUAUGAAUAAGCAUCGGCUAACUCCGUGCCAGCAGCCGCGGUAAUACGGAGGAUGCGAGCGUUAUCCGGAUUUAUUGGGUUUAAAGGGUGCGCAGGUUGUUUGAUAAGUCAGUGGUGAAAGUCUGUCGCUUAACGGUAGGAUUGCCAUUGAUACUGUUGGACUUGAAUAUGGAUGAGGUAGGCGGAAUGUGUAGUGUAGCGGUGAAAUGCAUAGAUAUUACACAGAACACCGAUUGCGAAGGCAGCUUACUAAUCCAUCAUUGACGCUGAGGCACGAAAGCGUGGGGAUCAAACAGGAUUAGAUACCCUGGUAGUCCACGCCGUAAACGAUGAUCACUCGCUGUUUGCGAUAUACAGUAAGCGGCUAA
rnacentral:rRNA from 1 species